UACGAGGGGUGCAAGCGUUAUUCGGAAUAAUUGGGCGUAAAGCGUGCGUAGGCGGUGCGUUAAGUCUGUCGUUAAAUUCCCUGGCUUAACUAGGGGUGUGCGGCUGAUACUGGCGUGCUAGAGGGUGGAAGAGAAAAGUGGAAUUCUCGGAGUAGCGGUAAAAUGCUUAGAUCUCGAGAAGAACACCAAUGGCGAAGGCAGCUUUUUGGUCCAUUUCUGACGCUGAGGUACGAAAGCGUGGGGAGCAAACAGG
rnacentral:rRNA from 1 species